UCCUGAUUCACACCCUAUAUUGGAAAGAGUGGACAGGAGGGAUCCUGAUGAUCCAUCUCCAUACCUUUUUGCAGUGUGGGAAGAGGAAGGAGAGUUAUCCGGUAAACCUAGAAGUUUGGUUUCACAAAUUUCCGAAGAUUGCAGAUCCCCAAAACCAGAAGUCUGCCAUGAAAUUGUAUGCUGCGGCUCUCCAUCCCGGAAUAUUGAGAAGCAGAAGUUACCAACUAUUUGUGGAACACUUCUGAUCCCAGUUCGUUCAGCAAAUCACGGAACCUUUCCACUUAAUGGAACAUACUUCCAGGUUAAUGAGGUAUUUGCUGAUGAUGAAUCUACUCAGACGCCAAUUGUUGUUCCAAGACAAUGGUUAUUAGGUCUUCCAAUAAGAUUUCUGUACUGUGGAAGAACUGCAACAACAACAUUCAAAGGCUUAAGUGCAGACCUUAUCCAGCAUGCGUUCUCUAAAGGCUUUUUUUGUACUCGAGGAUUCAACAGAAAAACUAAGUAUACUACUUGUCUUGGAGAUCGAUUUCACUUCAAAGCAAACAAGUAUAAGACGAACAAGCCCUUGCGGAAAAUACAAAACGAUUCGAAGUAGAAAGAAGAGCAAUGUAAGAAGUAGGAUUGACACUUCUUUGAUUGAAAGAUUUAGAGUUCUUAUGAAUCUUUCAGUGACUAGACUAUAACUUCUCAAAGCAGUCACUAGGUAGUAGAUGCUUCUUCAAUCAUAUGUAUCUAUGUAACUGAUCAAUGGUUUGGAUCUUUUACCUUUA